rnacentral:rRNA from 1 species
AGCAGCCGCGGUAAUUCCAGCUCCAAUAGCGUAUAUUAAAGUUGUUGCAGUUAAAAAGCUCGUAGUUGAAUUUCGGGGUCAAUAAGUUGGUCAUGCCAAUGGUAUGCACUGGCUUUAUUGAUUCCUACCUCUUGACGAACUGUGAUGCCAUUAAUUUGGUGUUGCAAGGAAUCAGGACUGUUACCUUGAAAAAUUAGAGUGUUUAAAGCAAGCUUACGCUUGAAUACAUUAGCAUGGAAUAAUGAAAUAGGACGUUUGAUCCUAUUUUGUUGGUUUCUAGGAUCGACGUAAUGAUUAAUAGGGAUAGUUGGGGGCAUUAGUAUUCAAUUGUCAGAGGUGAAAUUCUUGGAUUUAUUGAAGACUAACUACUGCGAAAGCAUUUGCCAAGGAUGUUUUCAUUAAUCAAGAACGAAAGUUAGGGGAUCGAAGACGAUCAGAUACCGUCGUAGUCUUAACCAUAAACUAUGCCGACUAGGGAUCGGAUGAUGUUAAUUUUUAAUGACUC